AAGAAAAUAAAAGGGUCUAGUAAAAUAAGAUGUUCCACACACACAGAGAAAAGCACGUUUGUUUGAGGACCAUCCACACAGAAACACACUACUAGAGUUUUGUCUUUUGAUCGCUUGUUCAUAUCUUCCACGGGUUCUGAAAUGUCCUCCUUGAUGACUGAAGUCCUUGAAAUCAAGAAUGAGCUGUGGCAACAUGCUAACAAUGCACAGUCAUGAUAAGCAUUCGUUCCAUGUGUGGUUGUGUGUACACACGCAGGAAAAGAGAUGCAUUUCAACAGUCUCCACUCUAAUCUCUGCAUGCAGGUUUAUUAUUAAAACUCCAAAAUGCUUCUCUUUCUAAAUGAGUUUUGGGAGGGAAAUGGGAAAAAAGGAGGAGCAAAAAAAAAAAAAAAGAGGAAAGGAGAGGAAGUAGAGAGAGGACAAGACAUUGGCGAGAAGGUGGCUGAAGCUAGAGCGAGCUGGCGUUUUAUCUCCUUCUCCCAGUCCCAGUGAAAAGCUUUAUUUUAUUUAUAAACUUUGAACUAUUUUCAGAUAAAAUGCCAUUUUUUCGCUGUCAUCCUUGAUCUUCCGUUCCAUUCUCUCCUGAGCGAGCCUUAGAGGGAGACGGCACGCUCACAAUCAGAUAGCGCUAUCAGCCCUCUGCAGCUGCACCGCCAUGUGCCGCUGUGCUCCUAUCGGCAGCCAGCACACAUACAGGCGUACACACAAGCUCCUAAGCACUGAAAUGAAUUCCCCCUUUCUUCUGUAUCCACAGAACUAGCCACAGAAAGGGCUCUGCAAUGCACUCCAUGAUCUAUCUGCACAUCCAGACGCUCUUUCUCUCUUUCGUGCGCGCGUACACAAACACGGAGAGAUUUGGUCCUUUAUUUCAUUUUUCUUUUUCUUUUUUUAAGUCCCUCUAACACAGACACACACAGACCAUUAAAGAAGACAGGACAAAAGGACAAGAGGAGAAGCAGCACUGACAUUUAGUUGGGAAUAACUUGCGUCUCCAAAAACCGAAAGUUUAAAACUUGGACUGGUCUGACAGAGGAGUUUAUCUCACGAGUUGCCAUCUUUUAUUUCCUCCCUUAUUAGCUCUGCUCUCUUUUUUUUCAAAUCACCCUUUGUUCUUUUCUCUUUUGUCCCACUCUUUGCUCCCUAUUAAUGUCACAUUCUCCUGUUUCUCCAUUGUAAGCAGUGAUGUUGUUUAUCUGAGGAGGCAGUGCUUCUAUCCCCAUCUCUGCCAGUGUGUCUGCAGCCUGAUAACCCACCGAAGGGGAUUGCGAUGCUCAACAAUGUUGUGGCACUGUCAGCCCACCCACCUCCCAAUCUCUGUUCUUGUACCCACCAUCCAGCCCCUCACCUGCCUUCAGGCACUGGGAGAAUGCUGAAUCCGCAUCUGCUUCAGAGCACCCGUGCGCCUUCAUCUCAGAUCUGCUCCUUCCAUCCUCCAAAAUAUACAGCAUGGAAAUACCAAGCUCAUGUAAAUGAAGCCAAUGGAGAAACCCUACAAAACUUGCAGGAGAGUCAGCAGGAUAAAAUGUACCGGCCUCGCUGGCUCUUCCCUAAGAAGCGUUUGGAGGCAUAGACGGGGGCGUGAGUGGCAUCGACUGCCCAGUAGAGGAAGAAGGGCU